ensembl:snRNA U1 U1 spliceosomal RNA
AUAUUUAACUGGUACGGGAAAUACCAUCAUCAAGAACAUGAUUUUCUUAGGAAGAGUUUCCUCCAUUGCACUACUGAUGUCCUGACCUCUGAAAAUUCCCCACAUUUGAGAAACUGGACUGCAGAAUUGGUGGUUGUGGGGAACUUUGAAUUUUCCCUC